AGGCCAGUGGGUGGGCAGUGAAAACCUAGAUCGAAAAUCACUCCCCAAUCCCAGAUCAUCACUCUCUCCCAAUCCCCUGCUCUCCUCUCCCCUCCUCCCCCAAUCCUCGUCUCCUCUCCUCCUUCCCCAAUCGCCGCCGCCUCUUGUUUUCCUACACGGGCCGCCACGCGAGGUGCUGCACGGGAGGCGGGUGGACGGAGGAAGGGCGCCCCGAGCAACGAGGCGGCUGGAUGCGGGAGUUGGUGGCGGCUGGACGGGCGGAUCCGGUGCAGGACGGGCGGAAUCCAUGGCAAGGCCGCUUUGAAGAGCUCGUACAUCACUGCUUGGGGCUGGAGAUGCAGGAGAGAAAAGAUCUCCUCCAAGUGCUGCCGGAAUCGGGCGCGCGGGAGAGGAGCAGCGCCCUCACCCUGCAGCGGUGCCUGCUGGACAGGUGUUGGUAGAAGAUUGCUCGUUGGAGGGGCAUAUAAUGAUUAAUGGAUAGUCUCGCCCUGAUGCUGAUGUACUGGAAAAUGAAUUAGAGUUGUCUCUUUGUUGCUAGAGGAAACUGAUUCUUUUCAAAUUACAUUUUGAUGCUUUGAGGUGGCUCAGUUAGUUGGAUCGUUGAUGAGUGGCGGAGGGUCGAUGUGAUGAGGAGGAAUGGGGGAUGAAUAUGAGCUUAUGUACGCGGACUGGCAGCUAUCUGUGCUUGGGCUGCCGUAGGCAUAACUUUGCGAGUUACCAUUUGUUGGUUCCUCUGAUAUUUCCUCAAAUGAUCGACAUGGCACAUGCUGCAGAUUCUAGAGCGCCAUGGAUCCUCACAAGGUGCCCGCCAGCCAACAAUGUAUCCAAGCAAGUGAUCUGUCAGUCUAUAAAUCUUAAAUCUAGGAUGAGGUAAGGUCAAGUUUUCACUGUACGCAUUAAUUCAUCUUCAGCUGUUCAUAAUGAGUAUCCACUUGAGCACAAGUACAGUCUUGCAGAGGUUAACAAAAAGGUGGCAAACUCUUAGCAUGUGUUUCUACAGAUUUCCCUGGAGGCCAAUAGAGCAGCCGUCAUCAUCGUCUUUAUCUCUAGCCGGAUCUGUUCCGAUAUGUCGGCUCCGAGAAUGAGUGUUUGGUUCUGAACCUUGACGGUGUUGUUGAUCUACAGCUUCUGUGAAAGGAGUAGUACGACCAUGCUUGCGUGGCAAAAUGCUAGACUGACAACGCCAAUACGAUUGUUCCCUGGUGCAGAGGCUUGCUUCUAGCUCUAGAGUCCCCAUGCCGAUCUCCUCUGGCAAGCCUCGACGAGAUGGUCUGAAUGACUAUGAAGCUUUGGGAUGUGUAUUUCUCAGGAGAACGACCGCUCAGGGGAGGACAACAUGUGAAUGUGUUCGAGAGAGAGAGUGAGAGACAGAUAGGUAGUUCAAGUUCCAAUUUUUAUUGCGUGUUCAAGGACGUUUUGUUCAUGUUGUUCUUGAUUCUAGGCAUAUGAACACACGCAAUUUCAGUUUUAAUGUCAUCAUACAGUGGCAGCAGGUAGUGUCAUGUUCAUGUGGGACUUUGAGAGAAAGGUGAUAUACGCAAUAAAUGAUGAGACUUGGUCAGAGGAGUUGAAUAAAUUAUGGUUUUUCUAUAUGAGUAGCGACACAAUUUAGAUCAUGAACAAUACUGUUUAGACUCAGGUUUUGGUCAGUACAGCUAGGAAAAAAGGAACUUGUUGUAUAUAUGUGUGAGUAUGUAUCCAGUUCUACAAGAUAGGUAAACAAGCUUAUACCUGAGUAAAUCUAGAACAGAUGUGCUACUUUAAUUAAUGUUCAAGGGUUAAAUUACUGGCUGCCCGUAGAAAGGAGAUGAGCUUUAUUCUAUUCAGGUUCUUAGUGCAUUCUGUUUUGAUAAAACAAUUAUCAGAACUGGCUUUAUUCCUAAACUAAAGUAUAUUAUUACGGCUCAUUGUGUUACUACUUUGACCUGGCUUUUAUAUUGGUUGUUAUUUCCCUUGGUGCAACAAUUCUCAUCAGCUUUUUUGUUUGAUGAAUGCGAACAGGACCUGAGGGCGAGUUCUAUGCAUAUUUGAU